AGUGAACGCUGGCGGUAGGCCUAACACAUGCAAGUCGAACGGCAGCACAGUAAGAGCUUGCUCUUACGGGUGGCGAGUGGCGGACGGGUGAGGAAUACAUCGGAAUCUACUUUUUCGUGGGGGAUAACGUAGGGAAACUUACGCUAAUACCGCAUACGACCUACGGGUGAAAGCAGGGGAUCUUCGGACCUUGCGCGAUUGAAUGAGCCGAUGUCGGAUUAGCCAGUUGGCGGGGUAAAGGCCCGCCAAGGCGACGAUCCGUAGCUGGUCUGAGAGGAUGAUCAGCCACACUGGAACUGAGACACGGUCCAGACUCCUACGGGAGGCAGCAGUGGGGAAUAUUGGACAAUGGGCGCAAGCCUGAUCCAGCCAUACCGCGUGGGUGAAGAAGGCCUUCGGGUUGUAAAGCCCUUUUGUUGGGAAAGAAAAGCAGCAGGUUAAUACCCCGCUGUUCUGACGGUACCCAAAGAAUAAGCACCGGCUAACUUCGUG
rnacentral:rRNA from 1 species